GAUGAACGCUGGCGGCGUGCUUAACACAUGCAAGUCGAACGGUGAAGGCGGAGCUUGCUCUGCUGGAUCAGUGGCGAACGGGUGAGUAACACGUGAGCAAUCUGCCCCUGACUCUGGGAUAAGCGCUGGAAACGGCGUCUAAUACUGGAUACGAGCUGCGAAGGCAUCUUCAGCAGCUGGAAAGAAUUUCGGUCAGGGAUGAGCUCGCGGCCUAUCAGCUUGUUGGUGAGGUAAUGGCUCACCAAGGCGUCGACGGGUAGCCGGCCUGAGAGGGUGACCGGCCACACUGGGGCUGAGACACGGCCCAGACUCCUACGGGAGGCAGCAGUGGGGAAUAUUGCACAAUGGGCGAAAGCCUGAUGCAGCAACGCCGCGUGAGGGACGACGGCCUUCGGGUUGUAAACCUCUUUUAGCAGGGAAGAAGCGAAAGUGACGGUACCUGCAGAAAAAGCGCCGGCUAACUACGU
rnacentral:rRNA from 1 species